rnacentral:rRNA from 1 species
UGGGGAAUUUUGGACAAUGGGCGAAAGCCUGAUCCAGCAAUGCCGCGUGUGUGAAGAAGGCCUUCGGGUUGUAAAGCACUUUUGUCCGGAAAGAAAUCCUUGGCUCUAAUACAGUCGGGGGAUGACGGUACCGGAAGAAUAAGCACCGGCUAACUACGUGCCAGCAGCCGCGGUAAUACGUAGGGUGCGAGCGUUAAUCGGAAUUACUGGGCGUAAAGCGUGCGCAGGCGGUUUGCUAAGACCGAUGUGAAAUCCCCGGGCUCAACCUGGGAACUGCAUUGGUGACUGGCAGGCUAGAGUAUGGCAGAGGGGGGUAGAAUUCCACGUGUAGCAGUGAAAUGCGUAGAGAUGUGGAGGAAUACCGAUGGCGAAGGCAGCCCCCUGGGCCAAUACUGACGCUCAUGCACGAAAGCGUGGGGAGCAAACAGGAUUAGAUACCCUGGUAGUCCACGCCCUAAACGAUGUCAACUAGUUGUUGGGGAUUCAUUUCCUUAGUAACGUAGCUAACGCGUGAAGUUGACCGCCUGGGGAGUACGGUCGCAAGAUUAAAACUCAAAGGAAUUGACGAGGUCAUAGCUGUUUCCU